rnacentral:lncRNA from 1 species
AUUUAUGCGUGGGUUUUGAUUAACGGGUUUCUAUUAAUAAACUAACAAAGCCGGCUACGCUUCCCAUUUUUUAGGCUGGAUAUGCCCCCGCUUGCCGUACCGAUUUUUCAGCGUGGAUACGUUAAAAGCCGUACCAGCAUUGAAAUCCUAGCCGACUGCAUCAUGUUUCAUUGGGAGCUCAGCCAUGGGGCAUCAAGGUAUACAUCCUCGUUCGUUGAUCAAUCUCGUAGAUCCAUUCUGUCUUCGGUACCCAUGUUUAACUCUGAUCCAUCUCUUUCUCUCUUUGUGCAGUUUUAGCCGGCAUAGUUCAGACUUCAAGUUUGCAUAUCCGACAUGAAAUCUCCAGAGUAAUUAAAUGCGGCCACUCUAGCGCAUGGAAUUUACCACAUCUCCAGGUU